UACGAAGGGGGCUAGCGUUGCUCGGAAUCACUGGGCGUAAAGCGCACGUAGGCGGAUCUUUAAGUCAGGGGUGAAAUCCUGGAGCUCAACUCCAGAACUGCCUUUGAUACUGGGGAUCUCGAGUCCGGGAGAGGUGAGUGGAACUGCGAGUGUAGAGGUGAAAUUCGUAGAUAUCAGGAGGAACACCAGUGGCGAAGGCGGCUUCCUGGACACCAACUGACGCUGAGACGCGAAAGCGUGGGGAGCAAACAGG
rnacentral:rRNA from 1 species